rnacentral:rRNA from 1 species
AUGGUGGGCUUGGCCAAGAUCGCCAUGGAAUGGCUCCAAGAGCCACUGAGCUGGCUUUUCGUUGCCUCGUUCAUCUUCGCGGUGCUGCAGCGGCAGCGGCGGCGUGGCAAGGCCAAGGCGCCGCCGCUGCCUCCGGGGCCGUACCCGCUGCCGAUCGUCGGCAACAUGUUCAUGAUGGACCAGCUGACCCACCGGGGCCUCGCGGCUCUGGCAAAGCAGUACGGCGGCAUUCUCAACCUCCGCCUCGGCCAGGUCCACGCCGUCGUCCUGUCGACGCCGGAGUACGCCCGGGAGGUGCUGCAGGCGCAGGACGUCGCCUUCUCGAACCGGCCGGCUACCGUCGCCGCCAUCUACCUCACCUACGACCGCGCCGACAUGGCGUUCGCGAACUACGGGCCCUUCUGGCGCCAGAUGCGCAAGCUGUGCGUGAUGAAGCUCUUCAGCCGGCGCCGUGCGGGGACCUGGCUCGCCGUGCGCGACGAGUCCGCGGCGCUCGUCCGUGCCGUGGCCCGGCGGAGCGGCGAGUGCGUGAACCUCGGCGAGCUCAUCUUCAACCUCACCAAGAACGUCACCUUCCGCGCCGCGUUCGGCGCCGACGCCGCCGGCGACGCCGGGAAACGGGACGAGUUCAUCGCCAUCAUGCAGGAGUUCUCCCAGCUCUUCGGCGGGUCCAGCAUCGGCGACUUUAUCCCGUGGCUCGGCUGGGCGGACCAGGGCCUCAACGUGCGCGCCCGCGCCGCGCGCGCCGCCCUGGACGAGUUCAUCGACAAGAUCAUCGACGAGCACAUGAAGAGAGGCAAGAACCCCGACGAUGUGGACGCCGACAUGGUGGACGACAUGCUCGCGUUCCUCCCUGAGGCGAAGCCGAAGAAGGCCGCCGGCGACGACCUGCAGAACUCGCUCCGCCUCACUCGUGAAAACAUCAAGGCCAUGAUCAUGGACGUGAUGUUUGGUGGGACGGAGACGGUGGCAUCAGGGAUCGAGUGGGCAAUGACGGAGAUGAUGCACAGCCCCGACGACCUCCGUCGGCUGCAGCAGGAGCUCACCGACAUGGUGGGUCUCGACCGAAACGUGGACGAGUCGGACCUCGACAAGCUCCCCUUCCUCAAGUGCGUAAUUAAGGAGACACUCCGGCUACACCCACCCAUCCCGAUUCUCCACCACGAGAACGCCGAGGACUGCGUCAUCAGUGGCUAUUUGGUGCCCCAGGGCUCCAGUGUCAUGAUCAAUGUAUUCGCCAUUGGCCGCGACGCCAAGGUGUGGAAGGACGCCGACACAUUCCGACCGUCGAGGUUUAUGACAAGGGAAGGGGAGGCCGCAAGGCUUGACUUCAGGGGCAACUGCUUUGAGUUCUUGCCGUUCGGGUCCGGCCGCCGCUCGUGCCCCGGAAUGGCGCUUGGCAUCUACUCACUGGAAUUUGCUGUCGCACAGCUCGCCCACGGGUUUAGCUGGGCGCUACCCAAUGGCAUGAAGCCGCCGGAGCUCGACAUGACCGACAUUUUCGGCCUCACUGCGCCGCGCGCCACCAGGCUCUGCGCCGUGCCCACGCCCCGACUUACUUACCCUUUGGUCUCCGAUGUCGGUGCCACGCACAAGGUGUGA